rnacentral:lncRNA from 1 species
UUCUCCAAAAAGAGUGUUUCAAAACUGCUCUAUCAAAAGAAAGGUUCAACUCUGUUAGUUGAGUAAACACAUCACAACGUAGUUUCUGAGAAUGCUUCUGUGUAGUUUUUGUGGCAAGAUAUUUCCUUUUUCACCUUACGCCUCAAAGCGAUCAAAACGUCCACUUCCAGAUACUACAAAAAGAGUGCUUCAAACCUGCUCUAUGAAAGGGAAUGUUCAACUCUGUGACUCGAAUGCUAACAUCCCAAAGAGAUUCCUGAGAAUGCUUGUCUCGAUUUCAUAGGAAGAUUUCCAGGUUUCCGACAAAAUCCUCAAAGUUGUACAAAUAUUCACAUGCAAAUUCUACAAAAAGAGUGUUUCAAAACCGCUCUAUCAAAAGAAAUGUUCAACUCUGUUAGUUGAGCACACACAUCACAACCUAGUUUAUGAGAAUACUUCUGUCUAGUUUUUAUGCGAAGAUAUUCCCUUUUUCACCACAGGCCUCAAAGCGAUCAAAAUGUCUACUUCCAGAUUCCACAAAAAGAGUGUUUCAAACCUGCUCUAUGAAAGGGAAUGUUCAACUCUUUGACUUGAAUGCUAACACCCCAAAGAUGUUUCUGAGAAUGCUUCUAUCUAGAUUUUAUAUGAAGAUAUUCCUGUUUCCAAC